rnacentral:rRNA from 1 species
UACGUAGGGUGCGAGCGUUGUCCGGAAUUAUUGGGCGUAAAGGGCUCGUAGGCGGUUUGUCGCGUCGGGGGUGAAAACCUUGGGCUUAACUCAGGGCUUGCUUUCGAUACGGGCAGACUAGAGGUAUGCAGGGGAGAACGGAAUUCCUGGUGUAGCGGUGAAAUGCGCAGAUAUCAGGAGGAACACCGGUGGCGAAGGCGGGUCUCUGGGCUGAGAUUGACGCUCAGGCACGAAAGCGUGGGGAGCAAACAGG